CCGAUAGAGAUGUUGCUAUCGCUGGCUGAAGACACGUGAGUCCGCUCAGAGUGUUGUGUUCGUGACCAUUCAUCUGAGGCUUCUCUAUCAACUUUCUUAUUAAGUCAAUCGCUCCUUAUCUUUUCAAGAAUGCGACCAUGGUGGUCAUUCCAGUGGUAACGUGCAACCCCAUAUUAAUCCUACUAGGGGUCAUGCUUGUGCUUCUAGGGAUAUGGAGGAUGGUGUUUGGUUAGUGAGGGACAAUGUAGGUGCAACCUAGCACAGGACAUAACUUACUCCUUGUUAGUGGUCCUCUGAUGAAGAAACCAUUCUUAACGUGGACAAGGGUAAAAAGGUCAUUGGUGGUGUUGGAAAAAAAGUAGAUCAGAUUAAGAGGCCAUUAAUUGUUGAACCAAAUGAAGACCCUUAUGUUCCUUACCAAACUUUUACGAAAUUUAUAUUUGUAUCUAGUAGUAGUAGAUUUACACAACAUUAAAUUUAUUUUACACCCUUUAUUUAUAGUUAACACUUUAUUAACUCAUUAGAUUAUGAGUAUUGACAUUAAAUGUGAUCAUCAUUUACAAUUAGGAGUGAAAAUAUGUUGGACUAACACGGG